UGAGGUAGUAUCAGAAGAGUAAAGUUUCAAGAGACUGGUGACAGGUUCCAAGUUUGGUGCGUGUUUGCAGUCCAUCAAACGGCAUGUGAUAAUUCAGGAAGAACGAGACAGAACUCAAGUGAGAUGUCGUUCAUUUGGCAUGCAAAAGCCCAUGAUGAUUGUUGUUGUGAAUGGAUGAAUGAAUGAAUAAAUGGGUGGACACAUGGAUGGAUGGAUGGCUGGAUGGAUGAAUGGAUGGAUGUAGUUGAUGAUGAUUGAACAAAGACACGCAAGAAUAGCGACAGUACAAGUCAUUGCCGUCGAGUGUCUUCAUUUUUGGCAUGUGAAAUUGCAUAAUUUAUUGUGUGACAAAUCAUGAGCAGCUGUGUCUGAGUAGGAUCCAUCGAGGAGUCGUCGUCUAGCUAAUUAUGUUGCAUGCCUGAUAAUCUUUACCUGGUUGACAGCCGAACUUCAUUUUUAUAGUGCCUGCCUGUUGAAGUGUGUGAUCAUUUAUUUAUCACAUCGACAGUUCCGACAGUGUGAGGAAAGAGCUGCUCGAAUAUUAAUGGAACGAAGUCAAAAAGUUGUGGAAAGCAUAAAUUGAGUUAAGACUAGUUUUCUGCAUGUUUGAAUAACCCAAAUACUAAAUAUUACCCAACAAUGACUGACAUAUUGACAUGUUGAGCACAUGUACUAUGGUCAGUUACUGAAUAUUCUCACUCAAAAUUGAAAAGCUUUCUUCUAAUCGAAUACAGAUUUCUCUAUCUUUAUUUGUUCGAAUAAACAUAUUAACAUUUAAGUUUUCAAUACUGUUUAAA